UCCUAACUUUUCCCCACGGAUCCUUCUCGUCUUCCACGUGAUUCGAGUCGCCUCUCUCCGUCAGAUCCUGCACGGACCUCCCUGUCAGGCCCCUCUUGCCGCCCGUCGACACGACCUUCGAUCUUGUUGUGUUGAUCAUGGCGACCAUUCCAUUUGAAGAGGCUCAUGCUGCCCGGAUUUCGUUAAGCAAGCCAUCUAUGUCCCAAAGUUGAGGACCGUUUGGAGAAGAGGCCACCCAGUUGGUUGUUUUCAAGGUUCUGCUGUACAGCCAUGCAUCCACAGAAUGGUUGAAAAGCGGGUGGCGCAUGUCAAGCUGCGGGAAGCUCAGUGCACGAUCAUCAGCUUCAGCUGCAUCAAUGCAACUUGCCGGUCGAUGGUCCUGCUACCCUAGGUGAUGAGGGGGACGGUACUUCAAGUGAACUAAGGGGUGUGUCGUUGCUGAUGAGACCCCCCUCCCUUUGAAACCAAAAAGGCAAGGCGGCACUGAAACCAGAGAGGUUAGGUGUUGUUGGGUGCUCGCCCUUUUGGACCUUACCCUUUUGCCUGUGGAUGCGCGAAGAAAUGAUGGGCGGCUAUGGGAGUGUCUCUUCAGAUGUUCUACGACAGUGCCACGUGUCUCCAUUAGCUCCUAUUCCAUUUCGCCCUGUUGUCCGACAUACAUUUAUUUAUGUAUUUGGCACACCUGGUUAGUUCAUGUUGUUAUGAUGUUCAAGUACAAGCAGAUACUGCAGUUAUUAUGCUACUCUAGGUAGCCUCUUUGUCGUGGAUAGUACUGAGGAUGAAUGCAAAAUCUAUAUAUAUAUGUGAUC